GGUCCUGCCCCAGCAGGUCCAGGGGUCCCUAAAGGUGUGGACGGAGUCGGCGAAGAAGGAAUGACACGGAGGCAGCGUUCAGUUGACCAGCAUGGUUGGGUUCUCUCGCCUGGUUCUAUCCAGGAUCUCCAGUCAGGUUCUGUCACCAGGUUCUGUCGCUAGGUUCUCCAGCCAAGUUCUGUAGCCAGGUUCUGUCCAGGAUCUUUUGCCAUGUUCUCUUGCUAGGUUCUGUCUCUAGGUUCUGUAGCCAGGUUCUGUCUCUAGGUUCUUCAGCCAGGUUCUCUCUCUAGGUUCUGUCUCUAGGUUCUGUGGCCAGUUUCUGUC